rnacentral:lncRNA from 1 species
UUCAACGUCCUUGGGGGACUAAUAAAGGACGAAAUCGUUUCUAAAAACUAAUUUUACUGCUCUCAAUAUAUUUGUGUGUGACUACCUUAACAUGCGGUGGUAAAGAGAAAGAGAACAGGCAUGCUAAUGUAAUUUGAUACGGAGGAUAUAUAGAUGAUUAUACUAUUUACAAACAUCAUCCGGGAGCACCCCUGUGAUUCCGGUAUGAUACGUACUGAUCUACGUUUCCAACAACCAUAUACAAAUCAAGUAUAUAACA